rnacentral:lncRNA from 1 species
ACCACCCAAAAGAAGUCACGAACACAGAUACAUUUGCUGCUACGCGCUCUUCUUUAGCCUCCAAUCACCCAAUCAAUCCCAUGCAAGGUCCAUUGAUGCAUGCGUCUGAUCUGAUGCAGCAGUACGUCCCCUCACCGCGCGCGCAAUCGUGAACUAACUCGGCCGAUUCGAUCGAUGAGUACAAGUACAGACGGCAGGGUCGCGGUGGCGAAUUAUAGGCCGAGCGCGCCGAGCGGCGUCUUGCCCUGUCCGGCCUCGAAGUAGAAGGUGAGCAUGGCGAGCAUGGCGAUGCGGGCGUGCUUGAUCUCGGCCAGCUUGAGCCGCUCGAGCUUCUCGGUGUCGGGGAUGUAGACGCCGUCCUUGACGGUGCCGGCGAGGCCGAGCGGGUCGAAGAACUUGCCGCCGGGGUAUCCCUGGUCGCCGGUGAAGUUGGCGAAGUUCUCGGCGGUGCGGGACCAUGGGGUGGCCCACUCGACGGACUGCGAGUCCGGGUUGAAAAAGUCGACCCACCGCUUGGAUUCGACCCACCCCAUGAGCAGCAGCUGCGUGCCGAGGAGGGAGCCGAAGGAGAAGGGUGCGAUGGCGCCCGGGUCGGCGCCGGCCUCGAACCAGGGGAUGCCGCUCCACGCCUGGCCGACGAAGAUGCCCAGCACGGCGGCCAUCGCCCACCGCCCGUGGAUCAGCUCCGCCUCGCGGUACCACUUGAGGAACGCCGGGUCCUUGCCCAGGCCCAGUGGGUCGAAGCCGAAGUCACCGGGGAGUCUGGCAUAUGAGGAAAACCGGCGUCAGUUCCGGUUCCAGCUCCAGCUUCCCUCUCAGAUCAGGAAAGCAAGAAGAGGUAGAGAUAACUUACGAGCCAUCGAGCCAUGGCGGGUUGAUGAACUCGGCGUCGCUCUUGAAGGCGGGGAUCCACGACUUCUUGGCGGCAGCCGCGGCGACGACGAGCGCGCGGCGCGGCGCGGGCUUGGCGGCGGCGACGGAAGCGGCAUUGGCGAGCGCGUGCCUGGCCCCGAGGAACGGGGUCUUGAGCACGGCCGCGGCGGAGGUGGACGCGAGCGCCAUGGCCUGGUGACGGGGUCAGGUCCUUCCCGUGGCAGAGUUUGUGGCUGGCUGGCGGCGGGUGGUCUGGUGGGCACGUCACGGUGGUUUGAUAUUUAAUCGUGGCGUGCGCGGCGCGGAGCAGCCACAAGAGGGCGCGGGAAAUCUCGGGGGCGGUAGGAUGGAUAGGGCACCGGCCAAUGGGGAGCGCGCGCCAUCGGAUUCUGCCGCGCUGCCGGACGCCACGUGGACGGCAGCCUCCCACUCUUGAUUCGGGGCGUGGCCUGGUCCUGGCUGCCUGCCUGUGUCACUGCCUCUGUGGCGAGAGGGAUGGACUCGUAGCUGUCGUAGGACUCCCGUUAGGCCGUUACUGUGGCCCGUACCUGCGACUGCGAUAUCUUUUUUUAACCUUUGGAGAUGGCAUAUAGGAGUACCCGCCGUCCUCCGGCGCCGGCCGAGACGACACUUCAGCGUGACAUAGAUCUUUUGCAUUUUUUUGUUCUUGAGUUUUUGCACUUCAAAUUGUACAAGAAGCUGGUGUUCAUUCUGUACAAGAAGCUUAUGGCAACUUUAUUCAAGGAAGAGAAAUUCAAGAAUAUUAGCAAAGCACCAGACAACCAAAGGAUAUCAGCUACUUGUGCAGCUACAAUAUCAAUGUGUCACAACCAUGAACUUUUCACUCGCGACCAAGGAAAAAAUUAGAGCUGUCCAUAUCAAUGUGUAUGAACUUUUGUGGUUACAAAUACCCUAUAAAUAUGGUAAUUAGGAUACGAGUACUACGAACUGAACCGGGCCUGAGCCGCAAUGUACAAGUACAACCAUCCUAUACUUCCAGGCACUAGCAUUUCAUGACCAGCCUGUAGAAGUAAUCUCUAAGGCAAAGUGGCGCGUAAUACAACGUGGACAGAACAGCAGUGAACUGGCCGUAAGCGAAGAAAGCUGGAGGAUUCUUCUUCAGAGCCAAUGCAACCACCUUCUUUGCAAGCUCUGAUGCUGGAGUAGACCCAGGGCCCUGGGAGACGUCAGUCCUGGCUCGGAGUGAUUCCUCAUACUUCUUGUAGUACUUCCACUCAUGCAUUUGAUCAUACUUCGCUGCAGACUUAUCCCCAAGAUUCGACUUUGUUCCUCCAGGGGCAACAAUCAUCACAUUUAUGCCGAAGCUUUUUAGUUCAACCCUGCAGUGAAGAGUUUCUAUCGAGUUAGGAUAACAGCUAUGGAAGGAAGAAGUAUGGAAAAAACCAUGUAUAAAAAAAAACCCUGCAGUGAAACAGAAGCCACAAACCAUGUAUAAAAAAAAACAUAACAAGCAGCCAGCCAUGGAGCAGUACAACAAUAAAUAUUGGAAACUAACACAAUUGUUGUUGGGAUCUUGCCACAUGAUCAAAUUAUCUGAUGUGAUGCUUGAGAGCAAUGAUGAAGGAAUCACAUAAACACAUCAUUAAUAAAUACAAAAAUAAUACCCAAUGCUAGUAUGCUACUGUCUCUGUUAUUUAUUUCCCAACAGUUAAAUUCAGAGUUUUUAGAUUUAAAACAGGGUAUUUAGAAGCAAUAUCCCAAUAAUUAAGCCUAUAUACAACUGACUGACCCUAAAGCAAACUAGCAAACUCUCUUUCACAAACAUAGCAUAGCCAAUUAGAUCCCUGUGAUCCUUGGCUCCAGGUUUUGAUGCUGAAAUAAAGAUGUCAAUAUAAGAAUAGGUAAUACUAUUCACAAACCUUAGUGAGUCACUCAAUGCAUGAAGAGCAGCUUUUGAUGCUGAAUACACACCAGCCCAUGGUCCAGGUGCCAUAGCAGCAAUACUUCCAACAUUCACAAUUGUACCUUUUCUUGUCUCCAUCAUGUGAGGAAUAACAGCUUGAAUCAUCCUCAUUGCACCUACAGCGAAAAGGGGCAAAAGUUAUAUACUGCAAUAAAAUCAAUAUUGUAUCAGAACAUCUGAACAUAAUAGUAUCUGAAAAGAAGUAAAAUGUGAGCCAUCCAAGCACAUCAACUGAAGUCAACAAACUAUUCAAUUCUUCAACAGCUCAACUAGGUUAAAUAGUAAGUGGAAUUACAUCCAGUCACUUUGGUUGAAAAAAUUAACCUCCAUGAUGACAUAGAAAAGCUAAUAGUUGGCAGUCUUGUGCUUUCAAAAACUUCACAGUUUAAGAGGUUAUCCUUUCCACCAUUAGAAAAGAGAUCCAAUGGAGCACAUAGCCUGAGAGACAAUUUUAUAACUCCGCUUAAAUCUAACAUCUUCAUAUUGACCACAAGUUUUGCUAGUGAUGACAGAAGAGGGGUUCUACUUGAACUCCUGACUUUACAGGUUCAGAUUUUACUAAAUGCUGUGUUUAUGAAAUCCAAGAUCCCUUCUCUGUGUCAAAGAAAUCUGACCACAGGACCCUUUAAUAUGAUUUGAAAUUGGACCGUACACAACUAGACAUAAGGAUGACCUAAAUCUUAACCAAUCUUUUGCUAACAAGCACUCAAAUUCUGAAGCACAAUGUCCAGUUUCCCAAGUGAUGAAAUAAAAUUCACUGUUUAAGAAAUUAAAAUUACAUAUAAAUAUGUUCACAUAGCUAUUCCUCUCUACCUAAACAAAGCGUCCUUAGUUAGGACCAAUUAAAGAAAAAAAGACUUCAUAGUAAUCCAUGAAUCUCUAAUGCCCUAUUCAGAUUCCGGGAUCUAAAAUUAUGUCCUCCUUCGACAACAUCGCAAUCACGGGAUACCAGCAAGGCCAAACAACGCAGUAGUGCAGUACUAGACAGCAAGCAGAAUAAAAGAAAUGAAUUUUCCCAGUACGUACCAUAGACAUUGGUGUCGAAGACCUGGUGGAAGGAAUCCAUGGGCACCUCGGCGAGCGGCGCGACGAGGUGGACCCCGGCGUUGUUGACGAGCACGUCGAUGCGGCCGUGCUCCCGCAGCGCGUCCGCGACGGCGGCGCGCGCGCUCUCGUCGGACCGCACGUCGAGCUCCAGCAGCAGGAACCGCGGGUCGCCCUGGAGGUCGCGCAUGGAGCCGCGCGACCGCGCCGUGGCCACGACAGCGCACCCGGCCGCCGCGAAGGCGCGCGCCAUCGCGUGGCCGAUGCCGCCGUCCGAGCACCCCGUCACCAGCACCACCGGCCGAGACCGGUCCCGCUCCUCGCCGCCGGACGCCGCCAUCGCCGGGGGUGGGAUUCUUGGCUCGGGAUCCGGUUUCUUGGCUGGCGCAGGGCGGCGCUCGUAGUUAAUCGCCGAUUCCCGAGCUGUCGCCGCGUACCAGAUUCGCGCAGUUGCGUUCAAUGCUGAAAUCCCGUGGAUUUCUUUUGUUUUUGACGAAGAGGACCAGCCGCGGCGGAGGGAGAAGCAGUUAGGGGAUGUUUGAUAGCGAGCGCUCAAGUUUAGUCCGUCACAUCGGAUGUUCGGAUGCUAAUUAGAAGGAUUAAACAUAAGUUAAUUAUAAAACUAAUAGCAGAAUCCUUAGGCUAAAUCGUAAGACGAAUUUAUUAAGCCUAAUUAAUCCAUUAUUAACCAAUGGUUACUUUAGUACCACAUUGUCAAAUCAUGAACUAAUUAGGCUUAAUAGAUUCGUCUCGCGAUUUAGCCUUGGGGUUGUGCAAUUAGUUUUAUAAUUAGGCUAUUUUUAAUACUUCUAAUUAGUGUCAAACAUCCGAUGUGACAGGGGCUAAAAUUUAGCCCAUGCCUCCCAAACACCCCCUUAGUUCGGCUCACGGCGAUGGUAAGGUGGUGUUCUUAUCGGAUUACUCGAUAGACUGCUCGUAUAGAUGGCCAAACGGCGGUCCGGCCCGGCCUAGCACGAGCCCAAUUAGACCCGCCUGUUUAGGUCCGUACAGUAACCAUGCCGGGUCAGGCCAGCCCACGUGUUGAAGGAGCGGCCCAAGCUCAACCUGCUGCCUUAUUAGGCGGGCCAUGCUAGCCCACUAGCCUAGCGGGCCUUAGCGGCCUGGCCGUGCUCGUGCCGGCCCACGGCACGGCUCCAGCUCUUGCAUUUUUCCAAUCCCCACCGCAGCCUGCAUUCCCCCAAAUCGGCGAUGCCACCACCAAAUCACGUCAAAAUCACCACCAAAUCGGAGCAGCAGUACAGCAGCAGCCAGCAGGGACUUGCAUCGACGAAGGGGUGCGGGGAGGCGGUGAAGGGCCGCGGGAGGAGGUGGCCGGGGGUAGGUGGAGGCCGCCAGGGGUGGGGGAGGCCGCGAAGGGCUGCGGGAGGAGGCGGCCGGCUCCGUCGCGGGAAGAGGCAGCUGGGGGCAGGGCCGUAGGGGAGGCGACGGAGGACCGCAGGAGGAGGCGGCCGGCUCCGCCAUGGGAGGAGGCCGCCGGGGAGUCGUGAGGAAGCGAAGGACGAGGGACGGGGGGACGCGGCGGUCGCGAGGGAAGGGCGAGUCACGAGGGAGGUGACGGUCGGUGGGAUGAAGGUGCCGUGAAGCAGAUAGGGUUAGUUUAGGAGGAGCAGUCCACUAGUUUUAGAUGGACACGGAGGUGAGCCAAACCGCUCGUUGCUGUCCCACGGGCUAAAUAGGCCGCACGGGCUAAGGCAGCAGCCCAAGCCCGGCUCGUGGUGUAGGCUGGGCCAGCCCGGCCUGCAAGGCCGCCGUGCGGGGCCGUACCUGGACCGGACUAAAAUGGCGUGUCGUGGGCGGCUCACGGGCCGCGGGCCAAACGGCCAACUAUAAAUGCUCGGUGACACAGACGUCGAUUGUUGUUACGAAACGGAGCCUGUGAAGGACUCUCGUCGAACCAAUAGCUGAAUUCACAGUACAAAAGGAAUUAUUCACGAAAAACAGUACAAAAGGAAUCCUCGCCGUCGCCGGCAGGACAGCAGAGGAUCGGAGAGGGGGAGAGAUUGUAUACAUAUACCGUAUACUGAAACAAUGAGAAAAGGAGUCUCUGCCCACAUUAUGUUACAUGUGCUGUUGUGUUGAUCGUGAUUCGUGAGAAACCAAGAAGAAAAAUGUACUAACUGCUAGCGAUAUGGUUUCACGUCGAUGUCAAAUUAAGGUGAUGUUUGAAUUUUUAAUUCGGACUAAAAUUCAUAUCACAUCGAAUAUUCGGAGGCUAAUUAGUAGGACUAAACAUGAACUAAUUAUAAAAUUAAUUACACAGAUGGAGGCUAAUUCCCGAGAUGAAUCUAUUAAGCCUAAUUAAUCCAUCAUUAGCACAUGUUACUGUAGCACUACAUUGUCAAAUCGUGGACUAAUUAGGCUUAAUAGAUUUGCCUUGCAAAUUAACCUCCAUCUGUGCAAUUGAUUUUGUAAUUAGUCUAUAUUUAAUAUUGUUGGGGGAAAUAUUAACGACCUCCUAAAGCCCAUGAAAACAACAAUCAUAAAGGCCCAAGCCUGCCUAGGGCAAUAAAGACUGCCGUCGGCCCAACACGGGAGGGGGGAGCCACGCUCCGCCUCACCCGACCCAGUGUCCCAGGGUCGGACGUUCCCGACCCCUUGAAGACCAAACUCCGCCUCACCCAACCCACAGGCCUGGGGUCGGGAGCGCCCGACCCCUCGCCGCAAGACUCCGCCUCGCCCGACCCAGGGCGCAGGAGGUCGGACUCGUCCGGGCCCACAAGACAAACACCCACCUCGGGCGCAGACUGGAAGAUCAGAGCGCGGAUCUCGUGGGUCCCCCUGUCGACCUCGCCAUAAAUGCGCCGCGGCUCUAGCGCGCAGAAAGGCGCUCGCGCCCCCGAGGCAACCCGCCACAAGUACCCAUGUGCGACCAUGCGGUGCAGGCUACAGUGGCUGCGGCUUCCUCCGAUUCGCUACAGGGCACUCAUGGCCUGCGCCGAACACCAUCAUCGUGCCUGGCGGCGACGAUUACCAAGGAGAGGAUCGACAGGAUCCGAAGGCAGCCGUCCUCUUCCGGUGGACGCGCUGAUAGGAGCCGAAGGCCGGGGAGGAGGCCGGCGACUCGGGAACUUGGUCCCUCUCCUUAUGUUGUAUUUUAUUUAACUUAGAUUAUCUCUUUUACUUCUCCUCAUACCCGGUCUCACUUGUAACCCCAGUGGCCUCCUUGCGCUAUAAAAGGAGAACCGGGGACCCUAAGACAGGGGACUCUCUCAAGCCAACAGAACACACACACUCUCCUUUAGAGCCUCAGUGCACACCUAAGAGACUUGGGACCAGCUCCCUCUCUCGCUCUCCUGUAACCCCUACUACAGACCCCGCGUGGGCAACGAGCAGCUCCCGAUACUGGACGUAGGGCUCUUCCUUACCCGAACCAGUCUAAACCCCGUGUCUCUCACGCCACCAUCCGAAGCCUUACGCGCAUAAAAGAAAUUUACUAGUCUUAGUCUUGAUCCACUAAUCUUGAUAACGACAAAUAUCCUAAUUAGUAUCUAAACAUUCUGUGUGACAUGAAUUUUAGGAGCUUCUAAAGAAACAAACGGGUGCAAAAGACACCUCUAACUCCGAGGCGCCCAAGAGCUUGGGCCCAAAGAGGCCCGCAUAACAACAUUCGCAUCUGGGCCAGGCUUUUUAUAUAGACAUAUACGGAGUACUAGUUAACAACCGUGCAGCUCCCCGCAUACAACCUUCGUGCGAUUUGUUCCCUGAGCUCCUUGCUAGACCUAACCCGCGGCAUGCAAAAGGACGUCUGGAGCUUGGUUCUGGAAAAAUGAAAGAUCUGGCCGGCUCUCGGGAUGCGGCGGCGGAGGCAUGGGUAAGCAUGUAGGCAAAAAUAAAUUAGCGGCUUGCGGAGCAGGCAACCGAACAAGUUCCCGUGUCCCACGAGAACUUGGUCAAUCAAAAGGGAGGUGCAUCUGGCGAGCUUGUCCGGCGGGAGUCUGGAUGGGUGGUGCGAGCCAGGUCACGCUGAUCCGAAAACCAAUCAGGCCACUAGGAAUUCUCCAGAGCUCAUCCGCUAUUGUGACUUGUGACUUUGUGAGCAGGUUACUGUAGACGUCUCCGUUGACUAAGAUAUAAGCACAUAGAGUAAGUAAUUACCAUCGCUUGUCGCAAGCGUUGUAUGAAGCCGUCGACAGCGUAAUAAGCUGGGUAGAUUUCUCUAUCGGAUCACUUUCUUAAUACUCCCCUAAGCAUCCGUGAACGAUGAGGUGUUGCGUACUUUAAAGUCCUCCUGUAGUCCCGCGUCCUCGUUCACAAAGGUCACCAACGCAAAGGACAAAUCUCGCAGUACCAAGACUCUGUCUCGCGCUGUCCAAGUGUCAAACUCAAAUGCUGCAUGUUCUGGUUGGAAUUUGUGAGACAGUACGCUAGUUGCCAGCUCAAAUUGGAGCUCUAGCAAGCAUGGAAAGAGGAGCGAGAUUUGCAUUCAGUAGCAAACAUGACUGCAUAUUUUGUUGCACUUUGUACCGGAGCCGAAUCCUGAAGCUGUUUCUCAGUUGAUGAAGAUGGAACUCAAAUCAACAACUGUGAGCUGCUUAGUUCCUAAAGAUCUUGCUUCCAUUUUUUUUUUCAAACGACCAUUGAUGAACAACAAAGUUUGCUCAACAAACAAGUACACAUCCGCAUAGUUUAACUUGCCUUGCACACAUGUUAUUCCACAAGGAAGAGAUGAAACCGGGUGACUGUUUCAAGAUGGACAGGAGCAAAUUCUUCCUUGCAUGCAUGCUUGCAAUGGCCUGCAGUGCCUACAAAGUACUACACGAUACCAGUACUUGCCAAGCAACAUCCCAAACGGCCUCACGAAGAAGAAGAAGAAGCUCCGCGCCCGCCAGCUUUGGGAUGCACCUUCUUCUUGAUCAACCCAAAAAGUACGCCGUCUCCUUUGACGCCAGCUUCUCCAGUAGUAGUCUUCUUCCCUGAUGCUCCAUCGCCGGCCUUUUUCUCUCCUUGUGCCGCCGAGCUGCCAUCGACGGCGGCGGCGUUCGCUUCUGCCAUCCCAGUCUCCUUCUUACAGGCGUUCUUCCGCACGUAGGCCUCGGCGAAGUCUCCGCUUAUCAUGGACGCCAUCUUCUUGCUCUGUUUCUCCGGCGCGGCGCCCGGGUUUUCCCAAAGGGCUAAGUGUGUAGUUUUUUUUUCCUUUACCCUCUCGGCCUCUCCUGUACUGUGAGUAAGCGUAGACGAGUGUAGCAAGGGCUGUAUAUAUAGCGAGAAAGGAGGAGAAGAAACUUGGGAUCCAAGGCAGGUAACUCGGCGUGUAGUUUCGGUUCCCUUGACGACCUGCUUGGUUGAACUGCACGGUUGGUGAGAUGCCACCGCAGCAUGAUUGACGAAGCGUUCGCUCAGUAGACACUCGUGGCGAGUAAGCCGAGCUCCAGGAAUUAAUCCAGAGCGAGAAAUUUCCUACGCAAUUCAGCUGCGAUUACGUCGUGAUUGCAGUGAGACGGCGACGCAACCGAUCGAGUACCGACUGAUCCUGCACUGACUUAGGUAGGUAGCAUGCCUCUCGCUGACUGAUCAUGUUGCGCAUCCGCGAUCGCUCUGGCCGUCAGUCCUAGAGCCCUGGCAACCGUCGAUGGUGCAGGCCGGAAUCUCCUGCUGGUAACUGUGACCUGCGGCAGCACCUGCCACUCGCGACCUGCUCUGUUGGCGCUUCUGAGCUAAUGACAGUACGUAGAUCACUAGCUAUGCUAUAUAUAGCAGUAGCUGCGGGAGCGUGUCAGGCGUGGAGGUUUUGAGCAUCAGUUGAGUUGACUCCUUGGUGGUUAGGGAGUGGUUUCUGGCUUUCUGCUGGGUUGGUAAUUGGUACCGAUGGGUCUCAAUCAGUCAGUCUGUAUCCAGGGAAACAUGAUGAGAAGUUUCCUUUCCAGAGCUCGAGCUCAGGUAUCCAAAUAUUAGUGUGGACUGAAAGGAAUAAGAGGAAUAUAAUAUUAGCGUUCUAACUUCUUCAAAAGGAAAGGAGAAAUAAGAGGCAUUGAAUGAAGAGAAAAUACUAGCCUUCAACUUGUUUAAUGACGAAAUCCAAUCAUUACUAAUUUUUCCAUCACUUUCCAAAUAGCUCAUCAAUCGGAACGAUGGGAUUUUCACGUGAGUACUUGGCCAACUACUUAACAACUCUUUCGUUCCAAAAGAACAAGUCAUUUAAAAAAUUUUAGAACAAAUUAAUAAAUGAUCAUGUUUACCCCUAUUUAAUAUUUAGCACUAAUUGAUAGCCACGUACACAUGCACAUACUACCAAGUAGUACUCAAGGCAUCCUCAAUUUUUUAAAGUCAAAUUUUUUUAAGCCUGACCAAGUUUAUAGAGGAUGAUAUUAACAUAUAUCAAAUCAAAUAAGUAAAAUAUCAAAAUAUUUCAUAAUGAAGUGGUACUUUUUGGAUGUCGUAAAUAUAUUUAUAUUUUUUAUAAAUGUGGUCAAACUUUAUCUAGUUUGACUUGGUAAGUAAAUGUACUUGGGCAGCAUGUAAUAAUUGCAUAACGUUAGGACAACAAUCACUCUACGCUAUCUCAAUCCAGCUGGAGCGUAAGUUAACAAUUAAUUAACUAAUCCACUGUGAAACACCCAAUCUCAAGGAACGAAUUUUAUUAAAUUUUUUGACAACUGUUCACCUUCUCCCAAGGAAAAAGUCCUUUUUGACCAUCCCUCAACUAUCAACGAAGUCCGACUUUAGUCCUCCAACCACAAAACCGAUUUGACACCCGAACUAUGUAAUACCGUGCAAAUCAAGUCCCCCGCUGGUUUUACCGGUGGUUUUACGUGACAUGGUGUGUGCUCCACAUGCCAGGCAACAUGUGGCAGUGGGACCAUAUGUGCCAUGUGGCUCCUCCCCCCCUCUCCUCUCUCUCUUCUCGCCUUCUCUCUCUUCCCUCGACUCUUCCACGUCCCGACCGGUGAUGCCCGAACCUCCCUUUCUCUACCUCCUCCUCCCCCCUCUCUCCUCCUUCUCCCUCACUCUCCCUAGGAGCGGCCCCGACGAUAGCGAGCCCCACGAGUCCCGCGCCGACAACGAUGACGGAGGCGGCGGGGCCCUGGAGCGUGGCUUCGGGGGGGGGGGGGUGCGAGGGGAAGCGGCAUCAGGGGCAGCGCGGCAGGGAAGCGGCGGCGGGCCUUGGAGCGUGUCAUCAUGGGGCGGCAAGGAAGACGGUGGCCCUGGAGCGCGUCAUCGAGGGUAGCGUCGCGGGGAAGGCGGCGGUGACGCUGAAGUUGAUGUGGCCCUCAUGGGCGAGGUACCUGUGUGAGGGCAUCGCCGGUCGGAGGCAGAGGUGGAAGAGUCGAGAAGGAAGAGAGAGGAGAGAAGGGGAAAAGAGAGAGCAGAGAGAGAAGAGAGAACGGAAGAAGAAAGCCACAUGGCACGAGGACCCACUUCCACAUGUGGCCUACAUGUGGAGCUCACGUCAUGUCACACAAAAUCACGCCAUGUCACACAAAAUCACCGCUAAAAUCAACGAGGGUCCUGGUAUUGCAUGGUUUUGCGGUUGGAGGAGUAAAGUCGAUAGUUGAGUGACCCAUUUCCAUCUUCCAUUUACACUAAUGGGCCGGAAAUUUUAACUUGAAUCCAGGCCCAUCCAUCUGGACCAGCUGUGCUUUCGGCGGCCUUUCUGAAAGGCCCUGAACAAAAAUACAAAGACUGUAGUGUGGCUAAACCGAUCGAUCCCACAUACGCAGCGGCGGCUAAUUUACCCGUGCAUCGAUCUAGCUGUUUCAGUAACCGGCCGGGACGCCGCCUUUUCUGGGGUCACUGACAGCGGUGAGGUCGCCGUGGCGCUCCACGUUGUGCACGACAAGCUGGCCUAUGGUGCCUCCGGCGAGCGGCUUCAGUACGUGGCCUAUCUUCUGCAGGUCGGCCCUCGUCGCCGCGUCGAGCUCGAAGUGGUCGCCGGUCACCGUCGUCCAGUUCUCGUACUGGACCACGUUCGGGAUCAGCUGCGAACAUGGCAAGCAAAACCAAGCUGAGAAGGGAGAGGGAUCUAUCCAGCCGGUGACGGGUCUCUCUCAGCGUGAGGCAUCACGGCAUCAGCGCCCCGGAGAAGAGGAUUAAGCAAUUUUUCAUUGAUGGAUGAUGAAUUAUUUCUUUUUUUUGAAAAAAAAAGAUGUAUUCAGACCUGGUGAUACACCCUUGGUGCCAUGACAGAAGCCAGUGGAUCCAUGUUCCUGACGAAAUGGUUGAGGAACACUUCGAUCGUUCCAGCAGGGAUCAUGGCACCGCCACUGGCGCCAACUGCAGCCUUCAAUUUCCCAUCCUGUGGCGCAGAAAAGAAUAGCCACAAGUUUUCAGAAGAAAAAAACUGCAGUUCGUUCAAAAAUAAAAUCUGCAAUUUUCUGACAGAUCUUCUCAACUUCCAUUUCGCGCUGUAGUUACCUUGAGGACUAUGGUCGGAGUCAUGGAAGAGAGAGGCCGUUUCAAAGGGCUGACGAAAUUGGCCGGAGCUGGUGGCGGAGAAUUUGCGGUUGUGUUUGCCGGCAUGGAGAAGUCAUCCAUCUCGUUGUUGAGCAGAAUGCCUGUGCUUGGGGACAAGAUCAGGGACCCGAAGUAUGAGUUGACAGUGCUGGUCAUCGAAACCGCGUUUCGCUCGCUGUCGAUGAUGGACAGGUGGCUGGUUCCAUGGUCCUGAAGGAUGUCCCACCUGAAACACAAGUUGAUUUAAGGAAAUCAGCAUACUCUGCCUGCCUCUGUGGACAUAGGACUGAAUAUUUCUUUUGCAACACAACAAAUAUUGCAGCACUAAAUAUUAAUGAAAUAAGUAAAUGAUGAGGUGAUGCAAGAAGAUAAAAAUCAGAUUCAUGAUAUGAACUGAUUAUUUUAUCAGUAAAUUAAGAAAUUCUUAUGCUGAAAAAAUGUUAUCACCUUCCACCGUAAUGUUUGGGGUCAAAUGUCAUAUUGUCGUAGAUGGUCUUCUUCAGCUCAGCAGCGAAUGUUUGGGACAUCAUAUCAGAUACAACCCCAUUAUCAUUCACAAAGUCCGGGUCGCCAAGGUUCAUCUUUACAGCCAUGUAAUGUUUCAAGGACUCGAUGAGGCGAUGUAUUCCAAGAGAGCCAGCAAAACCAGAAGGAAUUCCAUACUGAGCAAGGAUGUUCAGAAUCUAUUUUUCACAAGUGAAUUGGGGUGUUAGGACUUAGGACCAUGACAGGAUAUAAAGUUUUUUUUUUGGUGCGAAACGUGACAAGAUAGAUAUGAACAAAUGGUAGCACUGUUCAGAGAAUCAGAGCGCAGAGGACUCACAAGCAGCAUCCCGGCACCUCCGGCCGACGGCGGCGGCAUGGUGACCACCUGGAGCCCCAUCACGUUCUCCGUCAGCGGCCGCCGCACCUUGACCUGGUACCUCUUCAGGUCCUCCGCCGUCAGGAUCCCUCCGACCUCCCUCACGUCCUUCACCAGCCGCUUCCCCACCUUGCCGUCGUAGAACACGCCCGGCCCCUGCUCCGCCACGGCCCUCAGCGUCCUCGCGAGCCGGACGUUGCGGCACACCUCGCCGGCCUUCAGGAGGUCGCCGCCGGGGGCGUACACGGCCCGUAUCCCCUUGUUGGCGAGGAUUCCGUCCCGGGUCGCCUCCAUCUGCAUCUGCAGGUACGGCGAGAUCCUGAACGCCCGGGCCAGCUGCGCCGCCGGCAGGACGAGGCGCUUCCAUGGGAGCUUGCCGUGGCGCCUCCACGCCUCGUACAGGCCGGCGAUCUCCCCCGGGACGGCGAUCGAGAGGGCGCCCCGCGCUUUCAGCGUCGCGUUGCCGCCGUACAUGUCCUGAACAAACGCAUGGCUGGAGUUCAAGUGUUCGUUACCAGAUUCUCGAGUUCUUGGAACAAGAAACAUAGCAAAACGAUCAUUCCUCUGCUCAUGACUUAAAGCAGAAGCUAGUCACAGUGUCACACAAACUCGCAUUACCCUCAAGCUGGCCAUGUUCUAAAAAUUAAGAAGUUAAUUUUUUGCAAGCGCUCUGCUUUAAAAGUGAUCUGAUCAAUCUGAUGAUACCUGAAAGGCUGAAUCAGUGACUUUUUUAAUGUCAGUUAAAAGGACCUAUCAACACGCAGAUUUUGUGCUUAAACACUAGUGCGCGUUGACUGAUAAAAGGAGCCGUAUCUGAAUGAUCUUGGGCACGAUUGUUGGAACCGUAAGCAUCAACCCUACUAGCUUGGAUUCCUUUUGGCUUUCCCAAUUUUCCUUGUGCUCGUGCCUGCACCGGCCCAGACGCUACAGCGCAGCAGCCAUGUGUGGGACACCAGCAAGUGGACGAAUCACGAAAGCGUGGAACCGUGAAGCGCUUUCCACCCGGCAGGAGAAGAGCAACGACAGAGACUGCGCUGGAGAUGGCGCCACUAUCCUGACCUAGAGACCACACGGCCACAAGGAUAAAUUUUGCAGCCACAGGGCAUGGUCCUUCUUCUUCCCGUCACGCAACAACACUGUCAAAUUGGCUGGAGGAAGACACUGCCUAGCACCCAUACGGCCAUACCCUUUGUAGGUAACCCAUAGGGGUGUUUGGAUCCUGGAGCUAAAGUUUAGUCCGUGUCACAUCGGAUAUUCGGAUGCUCAUUAGGAGGACUAAACAUGAGCUAAUUACAAAACUAAUUGCAGAACCCCUAGGCUAAAUCGCGAGACGAAUCUAUUAAGCCUAAUUAAUCCAUCAUUAGCGAAUAUUUACUGUAGUACCAUAUUGUCAAAUCGUGAACUAAUUAGGCUUAAUAGAUUCGUCUCGCGAUUUAGCCUAAGAGUUGUGAAAUUGGUUUUGUAAUUAACCUAUGUUUAAUACUUCUAAUUAGUGUCCAAACAUUUGAUGUGACAGGGGCUAAAAUUUAACCCGGGAUCCAAACACCCUCAUAUAUAAUGAAUCCUGCUUAAUUUCUUCUCUGAAAGACAAGAUCCCCAAGCAACAACCACCAUGUGAAUCAACUACCAGCUACUGGCUACUCGUAUCUGUCAUGAUCAUUUUAUACUCCGUUCUCUUGUCACAUUCCUUCACAACAAUGUUCCUCGGGACACCUCGAUCGCGCCGUACCAUGAUUCCCUAGACUCCUAGUCAGCCCGAGGAAUUGUCAUCGAUGUACUCGUUGUGUUGUGACAAAGACCAGAAGAAAAAUGCUACUAGCUCGGAGCAAGUCACUCGCAAAUUCCUGCGGCGAAGGCCUUUGACGACGACUCACCUUGGACGCGGCGAGGGGCGCGGUCUCGCGGGAGUCGUACACGACGGCGGUGCCGUCGGCGAGCCUGACGAGCAUGAAGGCGCCGCCGCCGACGCCGCUGGAGGCCGCGCUGACCACGCCGAGGCACAGCGCGGUGGCCACGGCGGCGUCCACGGCGCUGCCGCCCUCGCGGAGCGCGUCGCGGCCGAUCCUCGAGCACCGCCCGUCGUCCGCCGCCACGGCGCCAUGCGGCGACGUCACCACCUCCCUGCGCCCCCCUGGCGCUGCCGAGGCGGGCGCCGCUCCCACGGCAGCGAGGAAUAGGAGGAAGAGGAGGAGCGCGGUGGUGACCGGCGCCCAUUGGAGACGUCGAGCUGCAGGGCACGGUGGGAAGAAGGGAGCUUAGGGAACCGAAUAGACACUGCCUUAUUUACACUCUGCGUGGUGCCGCGAGAGAGAGAGAGAGAGAGAGAGAGAGAGAGAGAGAGAGAGAGAGAGAGAGAGAGAGAGAGAGAGAUUGCGUACCCGCCAUGGCGCGGGAGAAGAAGUGUUCGACGAAUGACCCUGUGAGCUGAAAGCGCUACGAGGCCUGGGUUUCAGCCCGCCAGUGUACCCGGGUUUUAUAGACAUCAAAGGAUAUGAGCAGCCAAGCAAAUGCCAGAAAUUUUAUAAGGCUACAACUUAUAAGGUACUUCAACUAUUGCCUUGUAGAUGUAAGAGAUGGGAUAUCAAUCAUCAACAAGGAUAUAAGGAAAUAAAUGAUUUUUGCUACCUGCUAUUAGAAUUAUACGGCUCUUAAUGUGGUAUAGGAUAUUAUUAUACAUGUUCUCUGCUAUUACCUUACUCUUAAAUAUAAAAAACUUGGCUGCAAAAGAAUUCAUUAGGGCUUUCAAUAUCCAAAAUCAUAAAGCAGACACAUGAUUUUCUUAUAUAACUGACGUCCAACUAUAUUGAUAGUAGUUUCACAUAGAAGAUAUUUGAUAUGCUCUACACUGUAUCUUUUUCUCUUUUUUGUGCUUCAAGUACAAUGCCUGCUAUAAAUACAUUUAAGUUUAAUUUGGAUUUUAAAUUUUUGUGAUUUGUGGUCAUGUGUGAUCCAUGGGCCGACCUUGACUUUUUUAAGGCUGUCCCUCUAGAUUUGUAAUAUCCGCAUGCAUGGUAAAGCUUAGAAAGGAUUAGCAUCUGCCAAAAUAUUUCCUUUCCAACUACUGUAUAUAUUAAUUGCAAGAAGGAAACAAUAAUAUAAAAGCAGAACAAACUAGUAUUCAUGUCUAGGAUAUAUCGGAUCUUGUACAUCUGUAGAGAUAAAGAAGACUAUCUUAAAAGAACACAAGUUGUGUAUGUGGCCAAUCCAUUGUUCAUACACCUUUUCCGAGAUAUACUCCGUGGUAGUAGAUUAUUUGAAGGGAUCGCCGGACCUGAUGGUAAACGCGAGGACACAAGAUAUAUAUUUAUACAGGUUCAGACCAACAGAGUAGAGUAAUACACUACAUCCUGUUUGGGUGGAGUAUAUGACGUCCUAUGCUUGGGUGUUGAGGUAUGGGUUUGAGCGCCUCAUGUUGUGCCUGCCGAUCUAGGGAUCCUACCGUCCUUUAUAUAUAUCAAGGGGGGCAGGAUUACUAGUCAGUUAUAUGUAGGAAUCCUAUUAGAAUUAUAAGGUAGGAGUCCUAAUAGGAGUACUCGAGAAUACUAGUCGGGGUCCAUCUUCUUCCUUCUUUGCGAGUACCUGGGGAUCUAUCCCCCACAAGCCCCUGAACGCUUCAUAGUCGAGUCUUGCAGCCUUUUCCGAGUACCUUUUAGAUUCUCGCUGAGUAGUUUUAUCUCUUUCCAGGUACUUGUCUUGGCUGGAUCUUCAAGAUUUUUCAUCAAAGUUGCAACGAGGCUAUGAUGUGCUCAAGCCGCAAUCUUCUUGAUAUUGUAAUCUUCAUUUUUUUAAUGUUAUAUGGAGGGCGUCGGAAGACGCACUCCAUAUGCAGUAUUCCCCGAGCCUUAGGUUGAAUCAAAGAAUCAGGCUAAGGGUCCACAAAAGUCUUAAGUCUUGUUACUUCGUCUUGAAAACAAUCAACUAUUGGGGUGUAGCUAAUCAGCCUCCGCGUCUUGGGAUAAUUAGAAUGAUCAAUCCAAGGAUCUAGUGAGCUUUAGUCUUCACAGAAUUACCGUUUGAGUACUUUCUUGGUGCACAGCCCCUGAGCCUUGGAGCCAGGUGUGAGCUGUAGGAGUCAUACCGAGUAGUUAUUGGCACCCCCCAGCACGUAGGAUGCAUGGAAGGAUAAAGAUCGGUCCUAGGGCGCAUAGGACGGAUGAAGAAGAAAGAAUCUGAGCAAUGGUGCUAGGGACAAAGAUGACAUUUACUUGUCUUUGUCUCUCCCCCUUAACCUAGUGUCUUCCAGCAAAUUGGUAAAAUAACAAGAGAGUAUAACAACAUUGAACAUUUUACAAUAAUAUGUCAGCCAACAAAUUUACAUCACCUAGCAUGUUUUCUAGCAAAUUUUUUUCAUAUAUAAACGUAUCACAUAUAAUACAUUGAUAUGUUAUACUAUAUUUUUUUUGUGAGGAAAAGGUGCUUCCAUUAAUCAGAAACAAGGUUACAAUAUAAUCAUUUUCCAAGAGCUCAAUAUACAUAAGGGCGCAUUUGCUCUCCACAUGGCAAAUAAACCAUCCAUUUUGCUAGGUUCACUAGUGCAUGACUGCACGAGCUAAUUGUGUCACUCUUUUCCAAUUCGAUUACUUGGUUAGACUCUAGCCAUGGUUGAGCAGUCUGCUUACCAAAGAAAAUAAGCUGGGCGCCUUAUUUAUGUAAUCACUUCUUGUUAUUAAUAUAAACAGGCAAUAUCCGAAUCUUUCAGAAAAGAAGUCUUACUAAUCCUCAUAUCAGGCAAAAGGCCCAUGGAGCUUGUAUUCACUAGGUAGUAAAACUCCAGAGAUGAUGACAUUUUUAUCCACUCCCGCCGCUAGCUAACUGAAUGCCAUCAUGGCAUUCUACUACUUCUAGCUCCUCAACUGAAGCAGGGUUCUAAACUUCACCAUGCUAAUAAGAGGACAUGACCCAAGUGGUCUCUAAUAACCACUUCACACUUGUCUUGCCUAAUGACCUCCCAAAGGAAAAAUAAACAUUCAAUUUCACCCAAUCUUCCGCUAGUGCUAUCCAACGUUCCUCACUCUGUACUCCAAUGUCUUUCCCUUCUCAUUCUCCCUAAUUCCAUGAUGAAUGUUUAGCAAUGAUUUCCAAUAACUAACUACAAAACGAGCAAAGCUAAUGAAUGAUGCAAUUUUGAAGUUCAGUUAUCAAUAACUCACCGUGCUAAGAAAAGGACCUAACCCAUGUGGUCCCUAUUCCAAUAGGGAAAAUUGGAUUGUUAGCACUCUCAACUUGUGUUUUCACAAAUUUUACCACUUUGAAGAUUGACUAGGAAAUUUGCGACUUAUAUCCUUAACACAUUGAUUAUCAUGCCACUUUUCCUCUUUUAUUUAUUUUAUUUCUUUUUCUCAUUUACUAGAUUGUGUAAAUGGCAAAACACCUUGUUAUAUUUAUGUGCAAGAUAUAUUUCGAUUGGAUCAGCACUAAAUAGAAAAAAAACAUUGCUUCAUUGAAUUUCAUAGAAAGAUGCUACUAGUGGAUAUAGAAAUGAAAGGGCAAGAGAUGACCCGCCACACAACUGCUGCCAAGCUACGUGAAACAACCUCUUCUCUUCAGUCACCGCUCAACUACCUAUAAGAAGCACAUCGUCUCACCAGAAAUAAGGCACGCAUGGAUAGGACUUGGAAGGCGUGAUCAAAACCAUCGAAUCUAUAGAGAAAAAGUCCCUCCUCAGGUGGAGAAAAAGUCCCUCCUCAGGUGGCUAUUAACGGCAGUUAGCACGCCAGUUUGUGAACCGCAAACGCACGGAUCAUUGUAGCAUUUCCCUUAGAGUAUUCUAUCCAAAGUUUAUCAAUCUGUGGAUCGGCAGUGAGCUGACUAGGGAUGUCCUUCUAAUCUAACAGAUUAGUCCUAACAUAAAGCAUGGAUUACAUAUAAAGAUAAACAUAAUAGAUAUGAAUGCUAGAGCAUAGAUUGAUCGUAUCCACAGCUACAUAUGAGACAACACCACCAAGGGUAACAAGAGCUUAUCAUCUUCUAGUUGUAGUUCUAGCUAAAAGGCAAGCGCAACAUGCAUCUCAUCUAAAGCAAUCUUUAAACUACUACCUCUGGUCAAUCUCUCGAAAACUUCCACCUUACACAAGUUAGAUCUUGUCAUGAUCCUCUCUAUCGGCGCAGGCAGUUUAAGGGCACGAACACAGGUGAACAUGUCUAGCUAUCAAGAAGGAUCAACAUACUAGAUCUAAUCACCAUGAUUACAUAAAGCAUGCUAUGUAGUCUAAUCAUGUAUUAGACUUAGGAAUAAGCAUAUUCAUGAUAGAUAGAAGAGCAUAAAAGGAGGCAUUGCAUCGCUAACAGAUCGGAUGAUAUGAAGAACAUUGCUCAUAUAAUAGAUAUAUUUAGAUCAUCACCUCCGAGUACAUACCAUUGAUGAUCACAACUAGCUCCUAAACUCCACCAUGGCACAAUCGCACAGGGAGGCCAUGACGGCUAGGGUUUGGCCAAAGCCAUCUCCUAGAUACUACAAAGACUUGCGGUGACCGUCAGCUCCCUCUGGUGAAUGUCCUAGGUUUCAUCGAGUUCUGGUAGAUGGAUUCUGUGUGCCGAUGAAAAUUGGACAUAUUUGUAGUCCAGAGGUGCCAUGGGGCGAAGGGCACGUCAAUCAGAGCCAGAAACGGGCCAGGGCGAUCGGCCUAGGUGAUUUCAUCACCUUCCCGGCCUCAAACGCCAAAACUUUCUAUACAAAAGUUGUAGGUCUUUUCGAGCCAUACAAUUUAAUUACUAAAUUCGCCCCAAUCAGAGUCCGGACGAGGAAGAUAUACCUCAUGCAAGAUCUGUUGCUUCUGCGGACCUUCUGACCUUCCAAUCUUGAGUUUCCCUUAGCUUGAUCACGAUAUUGACUUGCCAAAUCAUCACAUACUUUGCCUCUCAGUCAUCUAUAAUGAUGGUUCAUCGAAUUUGGAUGCAUUUGGACAGUGAAUUAGUCCAGGCCGAUCAACCUAUGGGUCCUGGGCCGAUCGGCCUACCCUUUUUUUUUUGUCUCUGCUAGUCCUCGUCUUUCUCGUGUAGACUUUUCGUGUUGUCCAAAGUCCAGGUCCAAAUCCAACUUGAAGAAAAAUCCUUCGUUUAUGUCGUAUUUCCUGUGAUUUUGCAAUAUGGUCCAAAACACAACACAUAUGCGAAUAUAGGGUUAUUUCAGGUGCCAAGUGGCGGGUUAGUAUAAUAAUAUGCAUGAAAACACUAUUCAAAUGGCACUAAAAGUGUGAAAAUAAUGAGCAUCAACAACUAUCUAAUUUGGUUGAAUGUAAGGUGAGAGGACAGUGGCUUUUUGGUCAUUUUAGGUAGUUGUUAUUUAGGAAAAAAUAAAUAUCAAUAAAUGAGGAAAAUGACAUGAAAAUCAAUGUGUCAAGUAUAUAGCUGGCAAUUUUGGGAAGCCAAUAAUUGUGGCCAAUUUACAAAGUCACAUGUUGAGAGUAUAAUAUAUCCAAAUUUUCCAUUCCAACACUUGCAUUUCAAGAUGAGUUAUCAAAGGUAGCAUCAACAUUCAGUUUCACUCAACAUUUCAUAGCACAGGGCUUCUCUUUUCUAUGAUUAAUAUUAGGUCUUCAUUUUCUCUUAUUGUGUUUCAAUCAUGUAGUACAUAUUUCUUUCACUUCUUAUCAUUCUCGAUUUCAUGGAGAUUGUUUAGCAAAGACACCUAGUAGCUAACUACAAAAUGAAUUGUGCUAACUAUAUGUAAUAGUGUCACAUAUAAUAUAUUUGUACAAUAUAUUUUUUACGCUUUAAGGAAAGUGUGUUUUAAUACAUUUAGUUUUUACUUUAGAUCCUAAAUUUUGCUGCAUGGUGGUAAUUAUAUUGCAUGAUGCUUCAGGAUUUAUUAUUCUUCCAUUUAUGCAAGUUGAGUAAUUUUUGUUGUUAACUGUAAAUAAAAAACUUUGUAAAACGGUGAUUAUAAGUAUCAAAUCUUUUCCAAUGACCAUUGUUUUCAAAGUAAACAAGAGAGGGACAUUGUUGUCUUUCUUUCCGAUUCCUUUCUAUUGAAAAAUUUGAAUCAACUGUCAAAGAGACUAUUAGCUCUAUCCUAUUCUCUUACGGUGUGAAUUGCUAGCAUGGAUGAGUGAACUAGGGUAUUGUUUCGUUCCUCAAUGUUUCUCUAUUUUCUUCGUGUUUCUAUAGAUCUACUUCUACCUAGUCCAUUUGUUGUUGACUGAACAAAAUAACAAACCGCUGAGCCCAUUUUUGUUCAUGGUCCACUAUUACGAGUAGUGGUUGAUCAAGAAACCUUAUGCUUGCUAGAUUACUUAAACAUUACAGAUUGAUUAUGGAUGCACCAGCAAAGAUGUUGGCUCCCUUCAAUCCACAUUGUUUUUGAACCCAACCCAAUGUUAUAUGUGAUUAUGUCUUCUCCCAACCUACUACCCUUGGUUUUUAGAGGACUGAGAGGAGAAAGAUUUUUUAAGGAACCCUCUAAUUUAACCGAUAGUUUAUGUUUUUACAUCUCCGUGCUAGUAUAUCAAACUAUCUGGUUUUAACCGGUAGAUUUUUCGUGGAACCAUCUAGUUUAACCACCAAUAGUUUAGGAGUUUCGUUAUAAUUGUUCUAAGGUAACAGUUGGUACUUUCAGAUACUUUUUUAUUAAUUUUUGUUGGCCGUUGAUCUGAGGAAGAUAAUUAAAAUGUUAAAUUAAAUUGGGUAUGAACCUAUUAUUUUUUUAUUUAGUAACCCAUUUGGACCAUACAAUUCCUCUAGACGGGCAGUUCACAUUAUAAAAGUCCUCAUAGUUUAGACGUGCUAGUACAAACCAAAUGAGCUCUUCUUUUAGUCUUUUUUUUUUGCCAAACCACAUUUCCUGAGAAGAAAUGUGUAAUUACCAAUUAGUACAUGAUGGAUGGUAUAAGAUGCUAAAGAAAGUGUCUAGAUACUUCGCCAAUUAAUCAUGUCUACCAUUGCUAGCCUAUGAGUUUACUACGACAUGGCACCUAUGAGCCAUGGCAAUGAACAAAUCCGAUGAUACCCUACUAGGUGCAGACGUGCAGUGCUGUGCACUUGUCAAAGUGCCAAUAGGCAAUACUGUAGGUCAGAUCUUCGUAGUACUAGAUAAUAAAUGCACAUAAAAGAAUACACUUGUCAUGUUAGAUAUAAAAUGACGUAGUACAAAUUGGCCGGUGAAGUCUUGUAUUCGAGAUUUUCGAUCCAAUCCCCGAUGUCACAUGCUUCCUCUCCUACCCUUUCAUUUUCCCCCUCAAUUUCAGUUGACUUCAGGAUUUAUUUGUUGUCUGAAUCGUGACCCAGGACAUGGGUGCGGCGGCUCAAUGCAACAAAUCGACAUUUUUUUUGGUCUAAUCCCAUGCUACCUACUGUAAGAAUUAACGCAGCAGAAGCAUCCGGGACUGAUCCAUCCUGGAUCAGAUCCAGGCGAUCGAUGAGGCAGCACGAUAUCUAUCAGAAAUCACGGCCUGCGAAAAGGACAUACGGGGAGCACGAGAAAGGCUAGUUCGAUCACGUUGGAAACCACAUGGCAGGAGCUCUGUCUAUCAUUAUAGAAACAGGAGAGUUCAUACACACAUUGUCUCUUAUGUUGGACGAGCUGGGUAGCAGUUUGAUAAUUCGAUUGCUUGUGCGAUGUAGACGACUGGUGAACCAAGCUUAACACGCAAAAACCUGCCACGCAAGCCGUGUUUAGGAAUUAUAGGGGGGUACUGAUAUAUGCUAUGAUAUAGUUCGAAUACUGCAAUUCAAAGUCCUACCUCCACAUCCGUGCUUUUAUAUGUUGAUAUUUCAAAAAAUAAAAGGCUAGAUAGAAAAAGAGGAAUCCGAUUAGGAUCGGGGGUUUGAACCCGACGUGAAUCGAACACGCAACCUUCUGAUCUGGAGUCAGACGCGCUACCAUUGCGCCACGGAUCCGAUGGUGAUAUCGAAUGGAAAACAUGCUAUAUAUUGUUAACAAUUAAUUGACCAACCAACCAACCUCGCCGAUAUCCAAGUCCGUGGUGUCUGGUUCUCGGAAUUGACACCGGAAUCGAGGAAUUGGAAUAAUAAGAUAUUACCAUUGCGCCACGGAUCCGGUUUGCCAUUGGGAGCAGAAAUAAAUUAUAUAAACUUAGGGGUUGUUAGAUACGAGAUGCUAAACUUUAGCAGUGUUACAUCAGAUAUUCGGAUGCUAAUUAGAAGGACUAAAUAUGAGCUAAUUAUAAAACUAAUUGCAUAGAUGGAGUCUAAUUCGCGAGACGAAUCUAUUAAGGCUAAUUAAUCCAUCCUUAGCAAAUGGUUACUGUAGCAUCACAUUGUCAAAUCAUGGACUAAUUAGGCUUAAUAGAUUCGUCUCGCGAAUUAGACUCCAUCUGUGCAAUUAAUUUUAUAAUUAGACUAUUUUUAAUACUCCUAAUUAGUAUCAAACAUCUGAUGUGAUAGGUGCUAAAAUUUAACAAGAGGUAUCAUGUUAUACAACGAUCCGGGAUGAGCUCCGUGCAGCGUGCUACGCCACGACCAGAGACCUGCAACUGACCGUGAGCUGGAUGCAAUUACCCUCAUUCCGAUCCCACGCCCGAGGCCAUGCUCUGCCUCCUUGAAUUGAACCCGUCGAUGUCCUGCAAGCUGCGGUUAGAGUGUUACCGAGAAAGACCAUGUACUUCGAAUGGGCGUCUCUCUUUCUCUUUCAAAAGAUUUAGGAUCUGUUUGUUUGAAAAAGCUAUUGUUGACUUUUUUUUCUGAAACUCAACACUAACUUCUAGAAGAUGUGUUUAGUUUUCUGAGCUUAAAAGGCUAAAAAGCUCAUAAAACAGAGCUUUUCAACUUUUCAUACAAACUCUAGCUUUUCUGAGUUUCCAGCUUUUCGGAAGCUACAAGAAAAGAUCACUGUUUGUUUAAGCUUCUAGCUUUUCAUGCUGAGAAGCUGUAAGGAAGUCCAAACAAACCCAAACAGAGCCUCGUUACAUUUGGAGCAAUCAUACACUACCAGUCAAUCUAGGACAAGAGCACAGUACCAUUUUAUGUAUGAUGUUGACAAGUAAUGGUACCUAGUUUCGAAUUCUGGAUCAAAACAUCGUAUGCACAGGAAAGCUUCACUAGGAUAAGCAAAAGCCAGAGCCCAGAGAUCAAAACGCUCAAAAGGGUGGUGGUGGUAGGCAGGGACGCUUUGAACACGCUGCAACUGCCCCCUAACGGUUUUAUCGUUAACAGCAGGGGCAGGUUUGUUUGAGCCCCCCAAGGCCGAAGAACAGCCCAAAAAAAUAGUAGAAUUCAGGAAAGGGGUGCGCACGACGCAGCAGACUGCAGAGCCGGACAGAGGGAUGGAGUUGAAAGGCUUGAAGCCCAUUCCGCCCCGCUUCGCUCGCCGUGGACUGAACACUGCCUGAUUCUUUGGAUCGUUCAGCCCCCGGCCGCACACACCUCUCGUCUUCUCCGUCAUACAAACCGCGCCCUUCCCUGGAUCGAUCAGACACGUCUGCGUCCUACGUCCCGGUCCUGUCCGUCCAUGCACCGAUGCACGCAGCUUACACGUACGCGUGGUACAUUCAAUGGCAGCAGCUCGCAGAACGCAGAUCGGCAGAUGCAUUCAUGCCGCCAAGGCGCCAAGUGACCGAACCGAACCUAACCGUGCCGUGCUGACAGCAGAAUAUUUUUCUGUACGCGCGAUCAGAACUUUCAUCAGAGCAGAACAGGACAGCGGCACUGCAGCAGUAUUGCAGUACUAUUAUACUGUACUGCCUCUGCAUCCACGGGAAUCGAAGGAGUGGAGAGCGCCUCGCUGGAACGCUGGCUCGUUCUCACGUCUCACUGCUGCGGCGGCGACGCCAUAACUGCAUCGCUGCCGAGCCCCGGCGCCUCUGAUGAUCCCAGGCGGCCAGGCCAUAAAUACGCGCCGAGCGAACGGGCGACGCCCCGCCCACCGAGCUCGCCAUUGCUUCACCUCGCACGCACGCGUGCUGCGCGCACGCCGAUCAUACGAGCACAUCUACUCCGCUACACCCCCUCCUCGUCGGCUCGUCGCUGUCAGCGCCGGGGUCGGGGUCGUCUUCGUGUUCCGUCUUCGGCUGGGCCUGGGCGCAAGGGUUUUCCUGUGAAUCCAACCGGGGAUCCUGUGAGCGCCCGGCCCGCGAGCACGCAUCCAGUCAGUUAUUUAUGGCCCGCUUCGUCCUGCACGCGCGCUAGCGCACGCCAGAUCCUGACGCGUAUAUAGCUGCACGCAAGCAGAGCCGCCUCUCCGAGCUACGUAGCUUGCCUGCUCGGUUUAUCCUUGGCAAACACGCACAUCGCCUACUUGUCCUUCUCGGACAGGAGCUAGGAAGCAGGAAAUGGGCACGAGGAGGAAGUCCUCGUGCUUACGGGCGCUGACCCCGACGGUGCUGGUGCUCGCGCUCCUGUUGGUCAUGGGCUCGUCGUGGUCGCACGUUGCCGGCGGCGUCAGGACGACACCACGUAAGUUGAUCUCCGUGUUGGUCGGUCUGCAAGUUCGUACCAGUACCUCUUUAUGACUUUACCCUUUCAUUCAGCUCAACACGGCCAGUUGGCCACCUUUCAUGUUUACAUAUUUGGAAAAGGUUGCCGCAUCAUAUCGUCAGUCAGGCGUACAUGCAUAAUACAAUGUAGUAGGCACUGACGUGUUGUCAGGAGGCCUCAUUCGUUGCUACUAGAUAGAUGAAGUGACAGGACAUGCAUGUGACAACAGGCUGACAAUGGUUCACCUUCUUUCCUUGUGUACACGGCGCAGGUGCGUCAGUUCCCGCUGAAGCCGGCGUACUCGGCGAGGCCGCACCGGCUGCUGCAAGUUCAGGCAGAAGAGCUGACGAACCACGCCGACCAGAGGCGUUGCCGGAGGAGGAGGAAGGCCGCCCGGUGGCGGAGCGCGAGGAGGAGCUGUGGGCGAAGGAGCGCGGCGCGACGGGGUCGCGGCUGCCGGACUGCGCGCACGCGUGCGGGCCGUGCUCCCCGUGCCGGCGCGUCAUGGUGAGCUUCAUGUGCGCGCAGGCCUCCGAGUCGUGCCCCGUCGCCUACCGCUGCAUGUGCCGCGGCAGGUUCUUCCGCGUCCCCUCCAUCUAGCCAUCUGCUCCAGGAUUCCCUUGUCUUUUUGCUCGCCUCUUGUUCGUUACCUAGUAGGCGUUCGGCUCCAACGUUUCUCCGUCGUCAUGUGCAUGCCUUGGUGUGUAAACUGCCAUGUGAUGCCAAAGCACAUAUAUAUCAGUGCCUGUUUAUAUGAACUAGCUGUUGUGUUUCCAUGUGAUGCUAGUGCUAGCCGGCUCUCGUUUGGUUCACACGAUCACACGCACAGGAGACAGACCUUGCUUCGAGGCUAUGACUGCCUGCGGCAAGGUGCCGUUGCGACUUGCGAGUUGGUCCUGGUCCGCUUGCGGGAAAACGACGAUGCUUUUCUGUACGAGCCCGGCCGACCUUACGGAAAUGUGAAGGGUGAAUUCGAGGGAAAAUUCGGGCACUUUCAGAACUGGCAGCCUGACCAGCGUACAGUAUAGAUGUGCAGUGGCAGUGGAUUUGUAAGCUGGAGCAGGUGGGCAGGUGAGCGUGGCCUGGCAGAUUGGCACCACUGGCGUGCAUGAUCGAGCUCGCGCAGAGCAGCAGCAGUGCUGCGCUGUGCGUAGCGCUCAGCGCCGCAGCCCGCAGCACGACCCACAGGCCACAGUCUGCAGGCCACUGCACUACUCGUCAGUCCGUACGCGCGUCACCCGGCUGUUCGGAGCGUCACGCCCUGGCUCAAAAAGCACGCAGCCACCACCACACCCUAGCAUCUUGGCCUGAAGCCCUGCCAAAGAGAUGGAAAUGAAACGGCUCCGCCGUCGAAGCUCCGUGAUAUCCGCUGAGACGAGCUAAAAAGAGGGAGGAGGAGAAAAAAACCGGCUCACCGUGGCUCCUCCCCUCGUUUCCCACCCUUAUCCUUGGGUUGGGAGGGGCCGCGGGUGGAGGUGGCGACGGCAGGCGGUCGGCGGCUGGAGGAAGGGACAGGGACAGCCGACGACGACUGGAGGAGGGGUGGAGACGACCGACGGCGGGGGAAUAGGGAGAGGCAGCUGACAGCUAGAGGAGGCGGACGGCGGCGGGGGCGGGCCAGCGAGGGCCGCUAGAGGCCGGGACAGGCCCGAGCGGCACGGGAGGAAAGGAUAG